GGGGGGGACACACAGAUGAAUCAUUGAAAAACCUGCAAAAACUUUAUUAUUUCACCACAAACUGUCCAAACCAAUCAGCACGCUCUUCUUGUGUCAGGAAAUAUUUUGCAUUAUUGUGAAGUUUCACUGAUAGAUUUAAACUGAUUUCCGGUUUCUGUUUUCUGCAGAUACAGAUUUUAAACUGUACAAAGUAAAGUUAAUGCAGUUUUUUGUCAUAAUUAAAAACAACAACAACAACAACAACAACAAAAAAAAAACAGACUGCAGUGAGGUUCUUCUCUGUCAUAAAAAGCUCUGCUAAAUGAAUAAUAAUUUUACCUGGGCAAGCAAAAGCACGUGCAACAGAUUUAUAGACAAAACUAAUUUUCAUUUAGAACUUCAGCUGAUAGCAGAAGGUCAUUUUCCUCCUUUGCUCAUACCGAGGCUGCUGGGAGGCUCACUAACUUCAGCUGCCUUUGCUCUCUUAACUUCUUUAAAAAGUUCGUGUUCAGCAGGUAACUCUCGCUUCAACACUAACGACAUGUUAGCAUGUAGCUGUGAGCAAACUGCUGCUGCUGCCUGUGCCGCUGUGGGCGUCGGCAUGAAAGGGACCGACUUGUUAUUUUGUGAUUGGACACGUGUGAGACUGACCGGCCGGUCACCGGUCGGGGCCGAGAACACUGGAAAUCGUCUGAUUCUGGUCCCUGGCCGAUCAAUCGGUGCAUCUCUAUCCAAGAUGGCUGACGAGAAUAACAAAGAAGACAAAAAUGCCUUCUGAGUAAAAUAUCCAGACAAGCAUCGACGUGCCGCCUCCAAUCAGCCUUUUGGGAACCGAAUCCUCGAGUGUGAUCGUGCCGGCACACGUGGACGGAGAGAGGAACGGGAGCAGCAUCUCUGCAGCCCCUCUGUGCUCCCCUCCAGCACGAGAGCUGAUUUACGGCGUGGAGCGGUGGGAUUUCACUCGCUGGCUGUCAUGUCGUCACCGCGGCAGCAGAUAGAUGUGCCCUGCAGUGAUGCGACAUGUACAUACUUGGAGGUGGUUUCACCAGAACAGGAGGGAUGUUCACGGUCCCUGCACUCUGUCAGGGAAGCAAACUUUCAGGGGGAAAACAGAAGCAGGUCAAAUAUUUGUCCUCUCCAUAAAUAGAUUCAUAUGAUGAGCCGCAUGCAGCCGCUGCAUGACAGCUUUGCUAACAACAGAUUGCAUGUUUCUCAAACGUAUUUAUGUAUUUAGGCAGUUUGAGUCGUCCAUUUAAAGGAUCGUAGUUUUCUACAGCGUGGAAGCUCGCUCUGCAGAUGUGCUCCUGUUUCUGCUGAACUUCAGUCGAAUUAAACCAAAAUGACUCCAUAAACAAAAACAGGUCACAUGACUGAGUUCAGAGACAGCUUUGUGUGUCCUGCACAUUCUGCAGCCUGCUGCGAGUCCAACACCACCUCCUGCCUGUAUUUCCACACAGCUGGAACAAUCUGUGAGCAGAUGUCAGGAGAACAAAGAACCCUCACACAGAGGGGAAACUCUGAGCUGUGCAUCCUUACUUUAGAAAAAAAGUGAGUGUAACCUCUGACCCUGUUAAGGAAAUGUUGCAGAAUGACUUGAGGGUGAAGUGCGUCUCCCACACUGUCAGCGAUCUGCACAAACCAGCCCUGACUUGUGUGAAUCUUCUCUUUGUUGCAGCAGACAAAGCUCUACUGUUACUGAUGUUAAAAACAAUGUGUGCAGUUAUGAUUUUAAUACACCAAGGCAACAGAUGUCAGUGUGUCAGGGUUAGAAUUCACAGCGUGGAUUGGAUUAAGAGCAGAAAUGAAAGAGCAGGCUUCUGGCGUGAGCGCAGGAGUGACGAACUUUGGGUGGAGGUCGAGCGGGUGUAGAAAGGCUGUGUUUCCACAUUCUUCAAACCAGUGCUGCCCCCGACCCCCGAGGAGGGUUUUUAAGAGAAGAUGAGUAUAAUUAUUGACCCUCAUUAGCACAGGAAAUGAAAACAUGCUUAUUUUAAAUGAUUAUUUUAAAGGUUUAAUUACUUUUCAAGAAUGAUCUAUUCUUGUUCGAUAUACUUCAGGCUGAAUUUUACAUGCACACAGACUCUGAUACUGUGAAAGACGCUUUUUGUAGUUAACCUCUGCAAAUUUAAACUGAAACUGUCACCAGCAGGGGGCAGCGUUUCUCAGGUACAGGCGUGCGAUGAUUUCAGACUGCUGCUGUUUAACUCCUGAUAUUUAUUUUUAACUCCUCCAUCUUUUUCUUCAGAGGCUCUGCUUUUCAUCUUUAUAAAUAAAAUCUCUUCUUUUUGCUUGUUAAAUAAAAGUUAGAUUGGCUCACAGCACCAUCUCCUGGUACAAUCUGGUAGUACAUGGAAGUACUGCACGGACCUAGUUCAGCUUUAGUUGACGUCUCCUCAACACACGGAUGCUUUGGAUAUGAUUUUUUAAAGCAUGUUUUGAUAGACUUUGUUAAUCAUAUAUAUCAUAUAUCACACUACGACCUGGGUUUGUCACUUAUCUGUACUUUAAUUUUAAUAACUGUACAUUACUGUUUUGGUAACUUUUUGAUCCAUGAUGUAAAUAUGUAAAACUUUUAUGUGUUUCUGUUCUGUCCUGUGUCCUGUUCUGUUUGUGUAUGUGGGGUUUUUUUGCUGCUAUUACAACCAAAUUUCCCCCUGUGGGAAAAUUAAAGGAAUAUUCUAUUCUAUUCUAUAAUAAAGUUUUUUAUUUUUUGUUUAA